rnacentral:rRNA from 1 species
AUCGGUGAAACUGAUCUCUCCGUGAAGAAGCGGAGAUGUACAUAUAAGACGAGAAGACCCCAUGGAGCUUUAAACCCAACGACACCCGCCCCCCUCCAAAUCCUACUAUUUACCCGGUGAUUGUUUGUUUGGUUUUAGGUUGGGGUGACCGCGGAGUAUAAGAUAUCCUCCAUGAAAAAAAGCUAACUGCCCUUAUUAGAGAAAGACACUUCCAAAAAAUAAUAAAUUAAUUUUAAAUGAUCCGACAUUCGAUCAACGAACCAAGUUACCCUGGGGAUAACAGCGCAAUCCGUCCCGAGAGCCCCUAUCGACAGGCGGGUUUACGACCUCGAUGUUGGAUCAGGGUAUCCUAGUGGUGCAGCAGCUACUAAAGGUUCGUUUGUUCAACGAUUAAAACCCU